rnacentral:rRNA from 1 species
CAUUAUCGUACAACGAGAGGUGUGUCGGGGCUGUCGCUGACCCUUUUAAAGUCGUGCACGCCUCGAGCACUCUCACUCAUGUCCAUCACACCCUUGUGCAUCACCGCGUGGGCUCCAUUAAAAAAGGGGCCUGCGUUUUUCUUACAUGGACGCCAGUCGUAGGAUGUUCAUUAUGUGAUGAGUACAUGAUCAAUACAACUUUCAACAACGGAUCUCUUGGCUCUCGCAUCGAUGAAGAACGCAGCGAAAUGCGAUAUGUAAUGUGAAUUGCAGAAUUCAGUGAAUCAUCGAAUCUUUGAACGCACCUUGCGCCUCUUGGCAUUCCGAGGGGCACACCCGUUUGAGUGUCGUGAAAUCCUCAACCUUUCACCGUUUCUUUGAUCGGAGAAGGCUUGGACUUUGGAGGCUAUUGCUGGCUCUCCCCUCUACGGGGCCAGCUCCUCUUAAAUCAAUUAGCAGGGUCUCCUUUGCUGAUCCUGGGACGUGAUAAGCUGCUUCUACGUCUCCGGGUUUGGCUUCUCUUGCCUUGCUUCUAAUCUGUCGGACUUUUUACCUUUUGACCUCAAAUCGGGUGAGACUACCCGCUGAACUUAAGCAUAUAUCAAUAAGCGGAGGAAAAGAAACUAACGAGGAUUCCCCUAGUAACUGCGAGUGAAGCGGGAAAAGCUCAAANUUAAAAUCUGGCGGUCUUUGGCCGUCCGAGUUGUAAUUUAGAGAAGCGUCUUCCGCACCGGGCCAUGCACAAGUCUCCUGGAAUGGAGCCUCAUAGAGGGUGAGAAUCCCGUCUCUGGCAUGGACCCUCCGGUGCUUCUGUGAUGCGCUCUCGAAGAGUCGAGUUGUUUGGGAAUGCAGCUCAAAAUGGGUGGUGAACUCCAUCUAAAGCUAAAUAUUGG